GCCCCGUCCGGAUCUCUGGGCUGCCUUCUAAGCAGCGGGUCGCAGGUUCGAGUCCUGCCGGGGGCGCCA
rnacentral:tRNA from 1 species